AAACGUUUCAUAAGUGGAGGAUUGGACCUCUACACAGUUUUAUGAAAACAGGUAUCCAUGGCAUACAAUUGAAUAAUAAAAAAGACGUUUCGUGUGAACGGAUCACCACAAUCUGAGAUAUGUCGAUCUAAAAGAACUGUAUUAUUUGACACCCCCGAAAAGAUGGGACUAUUUUUGGUGGAGCCUCUUGUUGCCUUCUACGCCUUUGCAAGUUUUUUGGUCUAUCCACUGGUGCAACAGUACGUGUAUAGGCGACUCUGGCAAGAGUUAACUAACACCACCUACCCCGUCUCGGACGACACCUCCAGAUGUUCUGCAAACGCCAGCAACCACUCAAGCCACAAUGAGGAAGUGCAGAAGGCCGCCUCUCUCUUCUCCCUGUACACCGAGCUCUUCUCCAUGAUCCCCUCCCUCGCCGUCACGCUCAUCCUGGUGACCUACAGCGACCGUCGGGGACGCAAGGUCGCCAUCGUCAUGCCCCUGAUCGGCUCGCUGAUCUACACGCUGUCCUUCCUGGCCGUGUCGUUCUUCGAGCUCAACCUCUACCUCCUCAUCGCCUCCUCGCUGGUCAGCGCCCUGUUCGGGGGUUCUGGAACCUUCCUGGGCGGCUGCUUCUCCUACAUCGCCGACCUGUGCGAGGACGGUCAGCAGAAGACCCUGCGCAUGGCGGGCAUCGACAUGGUGAUCGGCCUGCUGUCGGGCGUGGCGUCCCUGUCGACCGGCUACUUCCUGCGAGCGGCGGGCUUCAACUGGCCCUUCUUCGUGUCCGCCGUCUUCCUGUGCUUCAACCUGCUGUACGGCAUCUUCGUCCUGGAGGAGACGGUGAAGGUCCCCCCCGACGACGCCGAGGACGGGUCCCCUCGCUGCGCGGCGUUCCGCAGGCUCGCUUCCGGCAUCUUCCAUAUGUUUGUGGCGGGGAGCGCGAGGCGGAACACCCUCCUGGUCCUCCUCCUCCUCGUCUUCACCACCUUCUCCUUCGCCAACGGGGGCGGGCUCUCCAGCAUCACGCUGUACGAGCUGAACGAGCCGCUCUGCUGGAACGAGAUCCUGAUUGGCUACGGCUCGGCGCUGUCCACCACGGUGUUCCUGACCAGCUACGUGGGCUUGGCCGUGUUCUCACGCUGCGGCAUGCCCAGCCUGGUCAUCAUCCUGAUAGGGAUACUGUCAGUGAUGACCGGCCUGGCGCUGGUCGCCUUCGCCAAAACCACCCUCAUGAUGUUCCUGGUGAGGAUUCCCAUGCUCCUGGCCAUCAUGCCUUUCCCCGUCCUGCGAUCCAUGAUGUCCAAGAUAGUGUCAAAGUCCGAGCAAGGGGCCCUCUUUGCAUGCGUGGCCUUUGUGGAGAGCCUGAGUGGGAACGUGGCCUCCGCCGUGUUCAGCAGCCUCUACGCCGCCACCGUGGCCUGGUACCCCGGUUUCAGCUUCCUGCUGGCGUCUGGCCUGUGCUUCAUCCCCAUGGCGCUGCUGGGGGCAGUGGCUCUGCUGGGGCCGGAGGAGGAGGCCGGGGAGGCCAAGGAAACGGAGGCCCUCAUCCCAGGGGAAGAGGGCCUGGCUGGGGAUGAGAGCCACAACCCUGCCCUGGCCUGAGCUGAGCUGGACUGGACUCUCCACGGAAAGACGGGAACGUCGGCAGUUGUUCUUCCUGUUCAGGGAUUCAUAAACCUCUGAGCAGCCUGACAAUCAAUUGCAGGGAGUGUUAUUGCUGGAACAGUCAUGUACACACAGUACUUAUCUUGUGGCAAACAGUCAUAAUCUGACUGUUUGUGUGUGUGUGUGUGUGUGUGUGUGUGUCUUAUCAUUGACUGUUGCAAUUCAGUCGAAGCACUUUGUUAAUUUUAUCUGGAAAUGUAGGCUGCAGUAGUUAUAUAGACAAGGAAGGAAAAAAAGCUAUGUGGAUUCAAAGGAAAGUAAUCUGGAAUGCACCAGCAAUACUUGAACAGAUUCAGGGUUUAUGUGAAGGUGAAGUCUCCAAAUGAAAUGAAGUCCUUCGAUGCAAUACACAUACUUUGCAUUAUAACAUGAGAAUUCAAGCUAUUUACAAAAUGGUACCUAUUUUCUUUCAAACAUAAUACCUCUGCAAAUUACAUCCGUGAGCAUACUUUUUCAAAGGGUUUCUUGAUAUAAUUUCUUCCAAUAAGUAAUAAUGUAUAGUAUUAAUAAUAAUAGUUUCCCAAAGAAAGGAAAUUACAAAACUGACAUUAGGAACAUGCAUUUUUGGAUUGCUUAGAAGUUAAUUGUAUACAGUGAUUUCUUUUUUUAACAUGUGCAAAUAGAGUUUUUUUGUGAAGUGUAUAUUUUAUUAUUUUUAAGAAUGUUACUUUCAGCUUUCUUGCAAGCUGGUUGUUAACUGAUUUAUCCAUUUUUCAAUUUCUCGGGACUUGGGUCUAUACUGUUAUGUGAAGGAACCAAAGAAUAUAUAUAUACCUACAUUGGAACUGAAAUUAAAAAUUUCUGUUUCGAAAAAUGUAGUAUGGUUGAUUCUAGCCCACAUAACAAGGGCUCUAAUUUUGUGAUCAUCUUUUUAUGGGAGUAUAUACAAUAACCCACGUGACAUGCUUUAUAUAGCAUAAUACACAACUGCACAGUUCAACUAGCAACAACCAGGCAAUUUACAGAAUGUUUAAGUGUGUGUAGAUUAAAGGGUAGUAACCACAAAACAAAAAUUUAUAUAAUCUCAAACUUUAUGCUGUGACAGCGGUCUUGUGAUGUUGUGGGUUAUCUUGGGCAAGCCAGGUGGGUGUCAUAGCAACCAGUUUUGGGCUUGGUUCUAUAUCUGUUCAGUCAAUUAAGGAAGUGAGAUAUGGUAUAAAAACAUUAUUUUCAUUUACCUCAUGCAGCAAUGUCACAAAUACAUUCUCUGACUCCAGAAUUUACAUUUGGUGAUUUGUUGAUGAUGCGGGUGAAACAAUGAAAUUGAAAGUCCCAUUCAUAAAAUGAAUACUCAACAUUUUUCUACAGUUUUUUUUGUUGUGACUUUCAGGUCAACAUUCCCCCACCUAAAUUGCUUGGUGCAUUGUCAAUCUAGUUAAGAUAUGUUUAUGUUGAUUUAUUAAAAUAAAGUUUUUGUUCUUAAAGAACAUUAUU